UUUGUAGCUCGUGGCAUGUGCGUGCAUGGGGAAAAACGUGCUGAGUUUGGCGUCCUUGUAGUUUUAAAUUAAAUUGGUUUGCUGGAAAAGACGUUUAUGUAUCCUUCUGGAGCUAAACUGUGUGCUACAUUUGUUUUAGUUCCUUUGUCCUGUGAGACUGGUGUGCCUGCAUGGAAAAGGAAAAAUAUUCUGUCUCAAAGGUUGCAGUUGCCCUCUGCCAUCAAGGCGUUUGAAGCUUGAGUUUGCAUCCAUGUUGUACUGGACUCCUGGUUGGGGAUUGUGGGAGCAGUAGUGGACUGAAGUGGGCAAUGAGAGGAAAAAAUGUGGAGAAUUUUCAGAAUUUCAUUUAAAUGGGUGAUUCAAGAAGAUUCAUCCGAUUUCAAUGCGGCAUAUUUUUACAACUGUGAGGUGCCUAGGAAACAAUCACAUACCAAUUGAAAAAGGGGGUCAUACAGUUUCUGACGGUCACCGGAAGAUGGUUCCCUUCAGUCUGCGAGGAGAUGGCAACCCCUGUUCUCCACUUCAAUAAG